rnacentral:rRNA from 1 species
GACGAACGCUGGCGGCGUGCCUAAUACAUGCAAGUUGAGCGCUGAAGGUUGGUACUUGUACCAACUGGAUGAGCAGCGCACGGGUGAGUAACGCGUGGGGAAUCUGCCUUUGAGCAGGGGACAACAUUUGGAAACGAAUGCUAAUACCGCAUAAAAACUUUAAACACAAGUUUUAAGUUUGAAAGAUGCAAUUGCAUCACUCAAAGAUGAUCCCGCGUUGUAUUAGCUAGUUGGUGAGGUAAAGGCUCACCAAGGCGAUGAUACAUAGCCGACCUGAGAGGGUGAUCGGCCACAUUGGGACUGAGACACGGCCCAAACUCCUACGGGAGGCAGCAGUAGGGAAACUUCGGCAAGAGGCGAAAGUCUGACCGAGCAACGCCGCGUGAGGGAAGAAGGUUUUCGGAUCGUAAAACUCGGUUGGUAGAGAAGAAAGUGGGUGAGAGUGGAAAGCUCACCAAGUGACGGUAACUACCCAGAAAGGGACGGCUAACUACGUG